GACGAGCUCCCCAAACGUUAUUCGGUAUCACUGGGCUUAAAGAGUUCGUAGGCGGUCUGGUAGGUGAGGUGUGAAAGCCCCGGGCUUAACCCGGGAAUGGCGUUGAAAACUGCUUGAACUGGAGGGUCGGAGGGGGGACUGGAAUUCUUGGUGUAGCAGUGAAAUGCGUAGAUAUCAAGAGGAACACCAGUGGCGAAGGCGAGUCCCUGGACGAUACCUGACACUGAGGCACGAAAGCCAAGGGAGCAAACAGG
rnacentral:rRNA from 1 species